UUUGUCCUCUUCAGUUGGUAGAGUGUGAGAUUCUUAAUCUCAGGAUAGUGAGUUCGAGACCCACAUUAGGCAAAA